AAGCAUAAGUCUUUUGGUCCGAAACUUGGUCUUCUCUUUAGGUUUAGGUCUUCGUCUUCUUCGUCAUUUUCUCUUCAUCAAUUGUAGUUGAAACUCCAUGGGAGCUAUGAGAGGUAGAGUUAUGAAGUUUCUUCCUCCCAACAUCCCUCCUCAAGUUAGAGGGGAACUGUGUGAGCCCUACCUUGCCCAAAAUUUCCUGAUGAGAAACCCCAAAUAAGGUUUUUGUGAAGAGAUCUGCGAGUUGAGCUUUAGAUGGGACAAAAGAAAGAGUGAUUAAGCCUGAGAGAAACUACUGUCGCACACAAUGACAGUCAAUUUCAACAUGUUUUGUGCAUUCGUGAAAAACGAGGUUACGAGCGAUGUGGAUGGCUGGUUUGCUAUCAGAAUGGAGAGGAGUAGGCAAAGUAAUUGGGGCAGAGAGGUCCUUAAGCAAACACACUAACCAUGAGCUCCUCCAAGAGUUAUGAAAAAACCACUGACGGAUUUUGUUGAAUCUUUGCAAGAUGCCCAAUCAGCAUCACAGAAUACCAGCGAAGAAAAAGAUUGUUCAGCUGAAAGAAGAAUACCUUGACCGGGAUUGGAGCUGAGGUAUUUGAGUACUCGUAGAGCAGCAGUAAAAUGAGAAACACAAGGCUUCUGCAUGUAUUGACUGAGGUGGGAUUGUGCAGAGGCUGGAUGUCAUCAGCUUGAAGCUUGGAGGCAUGUAUUGACUUAGUGAGACUGAAUUUAGAUGCCCUAAAAAAUAAAUUUAUACAGGUUCAUUGUACUUAUGAAUGAACUGAAAAGCCGAAAAAGGAAAUGCAGCAAGUGUUAUAAGUGUGGUAAUUAUAAGUAUUGGCGCCAUUUUUAAAGAGGUUUUGAGAUCCUCAAAUCAAUUACAAGACGAGACGCUCAUCAAAUUAUAGCUUGAAGUCUCAAUGCCUUAAUGCAGGUUUGAAUGAAUCAGCAUCACAACUACGCAAGAAUACUUCUAUCUAUCUACUCAAAUACAUAGGUGGGUGGGAUAUUAUAUAGCACAUCUAAGUUGUACAAAGUUGUAAACUGAAUCAAGUUUAGAGGAGUUUUAUUUAUGUAUUACUAUUCUUUAUUAUUAACACUAGAUAGUGUUAGCCCGGGCCAGCACGGGCCCAAUAUUAUAAAAGCUGAAAAUAAUACUAUAUUUUAUUAAUUUUGUUUUGAUAAGAAUGGCAGAUAACAAAAAUAUAUGCAUGUAAAUAACUGCCAAAUGGCGAUAGACAACAUAUAUAACAAUAAAUACCUAAUACAAUAGCUAUGAUUUCACAAAUACAUAGUGAAAUAGGUUUAUCGGUAUUUCACAAGCACAAUGAUAGUUGCUUCCUUCUUCAAAUUGCACCCCGAGGAUAGCCAUGCAAAAUGACAUUCGCCACACACUUGCUCAGGCACAUUAUUUCAGGAGGAAUUACAUCUUCAAGCUAAUCAAUCAACACUGAAACAUACAGGUAUAGAAUUAGCUCUAAGUGAAUGCUCCUCUAGCCUGAAGUAUUUCUUCAGAGAGAAUACAAGUAAUCUGCAUUCCCGACUUUGACUCAAGCUAUACUUUUCACCUAUAUUAAGCAAUUUAUAUCCUUUAACUUCCACAAAGUAAUCUUCCUAGGCAGCAAUUCCUGUAUCACAAAUCAAUAGUAUAUAUAAGUAACUGCAAUAUAAAUGAAACAAAUCAGUCUAAUGCAGACAUAUAAGCAUCAAGAACUCAACAAUAUUAUAAAACCAGACAAAUAGAAUAAUUCAGUUGUGUGUUAAUACUAUUUCAAUUAUUGUUGUUUCAUUUUAAGAAUCUUAACAACCUUGAACUGGUUGAGCAGAUGGAAGAAUGUUUACAACUUUAGUAAAUCUAUGGUUCCCUAAAGAUGUUAAGUAAUCAAGAGGUCUCCUGCAGAAGUAUAAACUAAUAAAAAGGGCAAACAACAAGAACAAUGAGCAGCUUUAUCAAUCAAGUUAAGUCCAUUACCCGGAGAAGGGAGAAAGAUUAAUCAAAAAGAAGUUAGCACAGUCACCAAUCACUGAACGUAAGAGAUAUGCUAGAAAGAGCAUGUUGAUAUUUCUGUGAUAAUCAGAUGCUAAGCAAAAAGCAUGUUGAUUUUAACAUCACGUUAAGUUUGUGCAAGGAAUCAAAUUGAGUAAUGUGGUGAACAUCAUCUUCAGAGAAAUUAAAUGAUGUUUUCUCACUUGCAUUCCUUUUUUAUAACCUUCUCACUUGCAUUCCUUGGCAUGUACCUAUCUUCUGAGAUGUCAGUUUUAGUGUUCUCAAUUAAGUGCUUCAAAAAAAAAAAAAAAAAAA